GACAGAGGAUGCAAGCUUUAUCCGGAAUGAUGGGGCGUAAAGCGUCUGUAGGUGGCUUUUCAAGUCCGCCGUCAAAUCCCAGGGCUCAACCCUGGACAGGCGGUGGAAACUGCCAAGCUGGAGUACGGUAGGGGCAGAGGGAAUUUCCGGUGGAGCGGUGAAAUGCGUAGAGAUGUGGAGGAAUACCGAUGGCGAAGGCAGCCCCCUGGGCCAAUACUGACGCUCAUGCACGAAAGCGUGGGGAGCAAACAGG
rnacentral:rRNA from 1 species